rnacentral:snRNA from 1 species
GUGCUCGAUCCAGGAGCACGAAUACUAAAACUGGAACGAUACAGAGAAGAGCACGGCCCCUGUGAAAGAACGACGUGGAAACUCACAAAGAGUUCCACAUUUAA